AAGUCGUAACAAGGUCUCCGUAGGUGAACCUGCGGAGGGAUCAUUAUCGUUGCAUUCACACCUUUCACCUUUCAUGAAAUGUCGUUGCCUCUCCAUUUUGGAGUCUGUUCAUUCUUUUUCUCUCUUAGAGAGAGGAGGAGGAACGGAUUCGAAUGGAGUUGUAUCCAUAUCCCCUUUGGAAAGAAGGGGGAAUUUCCCUCCUCUUUUCAUUGCGGAUAUGUUAAACCUUAAAACUUUAAAACGUUUUGUUCGAAAUUGAGAUUUGAUUCUCUUCUUCUCUUCCUUUUUGGAAGAGAUUGGAGCAAUCACUUUUCGUUUUAAAAAACAACAAAUACAACUCUUAGCAACGGAUAUCUUGGCUCUCGUAACGAUGAAAAACGCAGC
rnacentral:misc_RNA from 1 species